CCUACGGGUGGCAGCAGUGAGGAAUAUUGGUCAAUGGGCGCGAGCCUGAACCAGCCAAGUAGCGUGAAUGAUGACUGCCCUACGGGUUGUAAACUUCUUUUAUAAAGGAAUAAAGUGAGGCACGUGUGCCUUUUUGUAUGUACUUUAUGAAUAAGGAUCGGCUAACUCCGUGCCAGCCGCCGCGGUAAUACGGAGGAUCCGAGCGUUAUACGGAUUUAUUGGGUUUAAAGGGAGCGUAGAUGGGUUGUUAAGUCAGUUGUGAAAGUUUGUGGCUCAACCGUAAAAUUGCAAUUGAUACUGGCAGCCUUGAGUACAGUUGAGGGAGGCGGAAUUCGUGGUGUAGCGGUGAAAUGCUUAGAUAUCACGAAGAACCCAGAUUGCGAAGGCAGCCUACUAAACUGUGACUGACAUUGAUGCUCGAAAGUGUGGGUAUCAAACAGGAUUAGAUACCCGAGUAGUC
rnacentral:rRNA from 1 species